GAUGAACGCUAGCGGCAGGCUUAACACAUGCAAGUCGAGGGGUAUAUGUCUUCGGGCAUAGAGACCGGCGCACGGGUGCGUAACGCGUAUGCAACCUACCUUGAACAGGGGAAUAGCCCAGAGAAAUUUGGAUUAAUGCCCCAUGGUAUCUUUAAGUGGCAUCACUUGAUUAUUAAAGUAACAACGGUUCAAGAUGGGCAUGCGUCCCAUUAGUUAGUUGGUAAGGUAACGGCUUACCAAGACGAUGAUGGGUAGGGGUCCUGAGAGGGAGAUCCCCCACAUUGGUACUGAGACACGGACCAGACUCCUACGGGAGGCAGCAGUGAGGAAUAUUGGUCAAUGGGCGCAAGCCUGAACCAGCCAUGCCGCGUGCAGGAUUAAGGCCCUAUGGGUUGUAAACUGCUUUUGUACGGGAAGAAACACCGGUUCGUGAACCGGCUUGACGGUACCGUAAGAAUAAGGAUCGGCUAACUCCGUGCCAGCCGCCGCAGUAAGAC
rnacentral:rRNA from 1 species